GACAGAGGGUGCAAACGUUGUUCGGAAUUACUGGGCGUAAAGCGUGUGUAGGCGGCCAUAUAAGUCGGAUGUGAAAGCCCUAGGCUCAACCCAGGAAGUGCACUCGGAUACCUGUAUGGCUUGAGUACUGGAGAGGUUGGUGGAAUUCUCGGUGUAGAGGUGAAAUUCGUAGAUAUCGAGAGGAACACCGGUGGCGAAGGCGGCCAACUGGACAGAUACUGACGCUGAGACACGAAAGCGUGGGGAGCAAACAGG
rnacentral:rRNA from 1 species